CCUACGGGUGGCAGCAGUGAGGAAUAUUGGUCAAUGGACGAGAGUCUGAACCAGCCAAGUAGCGUGAAGGAUGACUGCCCUAUGGGUUGUAAACUUCUUUUAUAAAGGAAUAAAACGAGGCACGUGUGCCUUUUUGCAUGUACUUUAUGAAUAAGGAUCGGCUAACUCCGUGCCAGCAGCCGCGGUAAUACGGAGGAUCCGAGCGUUAUCCGGAUUUAUUGGGUUUAAAGGGAGCGUAGAUGGGUUGUUAAGUCAGUUGUGAAAGUUUGCGGCUCAACCGUAAAAUUGCAAUUGAUACUGGUAGUCUAGAGUACAGUGGAGGUAAGCGGAAUUCGUGGUGUAGCGGUGAAAUGCUUAGAUAUCACGAAGAACUCCGAUUGCGAAGGCAGCUUACUAAACUGCAACUGACAUUGAUGCACGAAAGUGUGGGGAUCAAACAGGAUUAGAUACCCCUGUAGUC
rnacentral:rRNA from 1 species